GUCAUGGCUCAGAACGAACGCUGGCGGCAGGCCUAACACAUGCAAGUCGAACGCUCGUAGCAAUACGGGAGUGGCAGACGGGUGAGGAACACGUGGGAACAUACCCUUUGGUUCGGAAUAACUCAGGGAAACUUGAGCUAAUACCGGAUAAGCCCUUACGGGGAAAGAUUUAUCGCCGAAGGAUUGGCCCGCGUCCGAUUAGCUAGUUGGUGAGGUAACGGCUCACCAAGGCGACGAUCGGUAGCUGGUCUGAGAGGAUGAUCAGCCACAUUGGGACUGAGACACGGCCCAAACUCCUACGGGAGGCAGCAGUGGGGAAUAUUGGACAAUGGGCGCAAGCCUGAUCCAGCCAUGCCGCGUGAGUGAUGACGACCCUAGGGUUGUAAAGCUCUUUCACCCACGACGAUAAUGACGGUAGUGGAGAAGAAGCCCCGGCUAA
rnacentral:rRNA from 1 species